UGUAAGGCUAUGUCUUGCCACCCCAGAUGAUAGAGUAAUAUAGAUAUGUGUGUGUAUAUAUAUAUAUAUAUAUAUAUAUAUAUAUAUAUAUAUAUAUAUCUCAAUCAUCUGGGGUAGCAUGACAUAGCCUUACA